rnacentral:rRNA from 1 species
AUUGAACACUGGCGGAAUGCUUUACACAUGCAAGUCGAACGGCAGCACGGACUUCGGUCUGGUGGCGAGUGGCGAACGGGUGAGUAAUGUAUCGGAACGUGCCCAGUCGUGGGGGAUAACGUAGGGAAAAUUACGCUAAUACCGCAUACGAUCUAUGGAUGAAAGCGGGGGAUCGCAAGACCUCGCGCGAUUGGAGCGGCCGAUAUCAGAUUAGGUAGUUGGUGGGGUAAAGGCCCACCAAGCCAACGAUCUGUAGAUGGUCUGAGAGGACGACCAGCCACACUGGAACUGAGACACGGUCCAGACUCCUACGGGAGGCAGCAGUGGGGAAUUUUGGACAAUGGGCGAAAGCCUGAUCCAGCCAUUCCGCGUGCAGGAUGAAGGCCCUCGGGUUGUAAACUGCUUUUGUACAGAACGAAAAGGUUUCUACUAAUACUAGGAGCUCAUGACGGUACUGUAAGAAUAUGCACCGGCUAACUACGUGCCAGCCGCCGCUGUAA